AGCGAACGCUGGCGGCAGGCCUAAAACAUGCAAGUCGAACGCCGUAGCAAUACGGAGUGGCAGACGGGUGAGUAACACGUGGGAACGUACCCUUUGGUUCGGAACAACACAGGGAAACUUGUGCUAAUACCGGAUAAGCCCUUACGGGGAAAGAUUUAUCGCCAGAGGAUCGGCCCGCGUCUGAUUAGCUUGUUGGUGAGGUAACGGCUCACCAAGGCUACGAUCAGUAGCUGGUCUGAGAGGAUGAUCAGCCACACUGGGACUGAGACACGGCCCAGACUCCUACGGGAGGCAGCAGUUAGGAAUCUUGGACAAUGGGCGCAAGCCUGAUCCAGCCAUGCCGCGUGAGUGAUGAAGGCCUUAGGGUUGUAAAGCUCUUUCAGCGGGGAAGAUAAUGACGGUACCCGCAGAAGAAGCCCCGGCUAACUUCGUGCCAGCCGCCGCGGU
rnacentral:rRNA from 1 species